UACGUAGGUGGCAAGCGUUGUCCGGAAUUAUUGGGCGUAAAGCGCGCGCAGGCGGUCUUUUAAGUCUGAUGUGAAAGCCCACGGCUCAACCGUGGAAGGUCAUUGGAAACUGGAAGACUUGAGUGCAGAAGAGAAGAGCGGAAUUCCACGUGUAGCGGUGAAAUGCGUAGAGAUGUGGAGGAACACCAGUGGCGAAGGCGGCUCUCUGGGACGGUACUGACGCUGAGACGCGAAAGCGUGGGGAGCGAACAGG
rnacentral:rRNA from 1 species